AGUCUUGUAUUCAAUUAUGAAUUUAAAUUGCAAAUUUAAAAGUAUAUUAUUAUAUAUUAAGGCUU
rnacentral:tRNA from 1 species